GAGAGAGAGAGAGAGAGAGAGAGAGAGAGAGAGAGAGAGAGAGAGAGAAUACAGGACAAUCAGAGAUAACUCAAGUGUCUCGCCCACCUCAUCAGCAGUGGUCACCCUACUGAAGGGCCAAAGAAUGGUUGAGACCCAGCUUGCUAAAUCCUGCUUGCGACCGAGAAAAGGGGGCACUUGGUUGGGUAGCAGUCUACUGCCGGCCAUCUGCCUUAGACUCCGGCACUCACAGAUGGGAUUCUGGAGCAAGCCAUUCCACGGUCAUCAAGCCGAAAGUCCGUGGACAAUGAGCAACCAUGCAAACAACACUCCGCCCUGUGGCCCAUCUGCACUGUCUUUCCUUCUGCAGAUUUGUGAAACACCUGGGCCAUGGGGAGAUGAGGAUGAGCAACCGGAUAAACAUCUGGAGCACACCUAGGCAGGUGGGGCUCAGACAGUCAAUGAGGUCAAGAGAAUGUGUCCUGUGCUGUUUGUAAUAACACGCUCUGCAGAAAAUUGAGGACGGAGCAGGAAGCCCUAAGACUAACCAUGGUAAGUACCCACACGGACACUUGGAAAGCAAAGUGGACCUCUGCUGUCAGAAAACAUGGAUCUCCUAGUGUACAUGGGUGAGAUGUGGCCAGAACACCUGUUCCCCCUCCUGCCACAGAUGCCAAUGAGCAGGGAGAGAGCAUUGGAUCUUUGUGUUGCUCUAUAUUCCGAAAGCCGGGCAAUUUGUGAAUGCGGCAGAUUAACACCCCAGGACAAGCUGCCACCCCUCCCACCCAGGCAGCAGGAGGGAAACAGCCAGUCAUUCCAGAGCUGUCCUGCCCCUCUGCUCAGGGGGUCAGCCACAUCUCUGAGACUUGAGAUGUCUGUGUCACUCUCGUCCUCUCCUCAGCAGCCUUCUUUCAUUCUCUGAAUAUUGAGGCCCAGGAACUUUCUGGGAAUAGGGACUCUAGUUGGUGUCUUCUGGAAUCAACCUGGCAUUCAUCCAGGGCUGGAGAGCUAAUGCACAACAAAUAAGCUCUUCACAGUGUGUCUGUACUAAACUGUUAACAUACCCAUGCAGAUUCUUUUCGACAGUAUGGGACACACAAGUGUCCCUAUCCAUAUCCCCUGUCAAGACUUCCCAGUGCCCCCUGGAUAUGCAUGUAUGUGCAGAAUACCUCUGGAAGAACCAACCAGGCACAGCCGCAGUGGUUGCAUUUGAAGGACAGAAUGGAGAUGGAGCAUGGGAAUGGGCGGGGGGACCUUAUAAUAUCUGCUUCUGAUCUGUGUUAUCACCACAGGUAAUCCAGAGCCCGCAGCAUGCGCUUGGAGCCAGGAUACUUGGGUUAAGGUGAAUUUCCCAUUUGUGCUUGGGUGGCACCUCCUACCUUACUGAGUGAUUGUGAGGUUCAAGCAUGCUAAUACCCAUAUGUAGGUGCUGAGUACAAAGUAACGACGAUUUGCAAUUGCUGUUAUUAAUGUUGUUGCUAUCAAAUUAGAAAGAAGAUAGAAUCUUGUCAAAGAAUAAAUCCAGCUGUGACUUUCUUUAAAAUAAAUGAUAAAAGGCAUUGCGUUUAAAACUGCUGGGCUAUUCAAUAAAGGCUUAGAUAUUUC